rnacentral:lncRNA from 1 species
CAAUAGUGGAGCGUGCUUGGCGACCGCAGAGCUACCUAGGCUGAAGGAGUGACGCAGGCUACCAUGAAUGUUGAAUAAUAGCAAUAGCCUAUUAAGCUAUUACAAAUGUAGUCUAUAGCGUCUUAAAACACCAAAAUAAAUAAUGAUCAUGACAGUCAAUGGAAAGAAAAUCACACGACACGUCAUGAUUGUGGGUUCGACUCCCAGCACACGAACGGAAAAUGAAUGCAUGCAUACUGUCGCUUUGGAUAAAAGUGUGUGCUUAAUGUCACAUUUAAUAUUAUUGCACACCUCAUUUGUGAGACGUCGAACAUUUUCCUUCAUGGAAAGUUUGACAGUAGCUAUGGGCUGCCUGCACAUUCUGAGAAGACGGAAGAAAAUAAAACAGCUAUUUAAACCAGGAACCAAAAACACAGCAGCGGUUGCCUCUGCUGCUCGAGAAGUCUGCAUUGAAGCUCGAGCCGGCCGGCCUCGGCGCCUGACUUUGCAACGGGUCGUUAUGACAGUCAAUCAGUUGGUUAACAGUCGAGCCCAGCCGGAUAAGAUACCAAAAAGUUCAAAAUAGCCUCUCCGACGGACUGUCUCCACCUUCCACCACCAUGCGCCAAAUACUCGACUGUUCACAGCCAGAAACACUCUGUCUCUCCACCCUUAAACUGUCUCCACCUUCCACCAUCGUGUGCCAAAUGCUCAAAAUGUCAAUCUGAAGGCUGGCAACCUGAUCCGGAGAUGGUGUGGUUGGACAGUAAAUGAGUCAAUCUCAAAUAUUUUAACUGUUCAAUGUGUGUAGACUUUCACUAGGCACUGUAUACCCAUUGAUUAUUGAAGAAAAUAAGUUAUAAAUGCUUGUUGAGCAUAGUUGAACUGUUCUUCCCCAUCAGAACCAAACAUAGGCCUGUUUAACUGAAAACAAACAUUUUAUAGCCUCAAAACAUGAUUAAAACUGUAAAUGGCCAGUCCUUGCAUCCAUAGCACCUACAUGUGUAUGGUCAGUGCUAUCUGGAAUCCUUGGUACUUCCUACCCUAAACCAUAACCCUUAGCUUAACCUUACACAUAUCCAAAUCCCUUACCUAGCCUUAAACAUUUUAAAUGUCAACUUCAAUGGAGUAGGGACAUCCAAAGGAUUCUGAAUAGCACAGAUCAUAUGUUUAUCAUCUGAGAGCUGUAUCCAUGAAUACUGGGCAGGGGACACAAGAUAAGAGAGACUGGUGUGAGAGACAGACAGUGGCCUGGCCAUUGAAUUAGGAAUUACAAUACUAUUAUGACAUGGCAUGACAAUAGAUCAAAGACAAUUUAUAUUUUCAGAGGGACAUUGAUUCAAGGCCUUUGCGGCCCGCAGGCUGCCAGUUGCCCAUCCCUGACCUAGAGUCCUGAUAUUCUUUGCAUAUGCCCCUCUUCUCACAAGGAACAAAUUUGCCUCAAGGACCCAGAAGGUCUGCCAUGAUGGAUUUUCCGCCGAUCUGUAUGAAACUUGAAAUUACAUCUAUUUUUUAUUUAACCUUUAUUUAACCAGGCAAGUCAGUUAAGAACAAAUUCUUAUUUACAAUGACGGCCCA